rnacentral:rRNA from 1 species
CGUAGCUUUUACGCCUGUCAGUGGAUGGCUCGGUUCGGGUGCCGACGAAGGGCGUGCCAAGCUGCGAUAAGCUCCGGGAAGACGCAUGGAGUCUACGAUCCGGAGAUACCCUAAUGGGACAUCCCAACACUUCGGUGUUGAUCCGUAAGGAUCGGGAACCCCCCGAAUUGAAACAUCUUAGUAGGGGGAGGAAAAGAAAUCAACCGAGAUGUCGUUAGUAGAGGCGAUCGAACACGACAGAGUUCAAACUGAAUCCCCUCACGGGGAGAUGUGGUGUAGUAAGCCUACCGUCCGGAUAUCAAGGUCAAACGGAAGUCCUCUAGAACGUGGCACCAAAGAGGGUGAUAGUCCCGUACGUGUAAGCCGAGGUAUCCUGGUAGAGUCUUGAGUACCGCGGGUCGGAAUUCUCGCGGGAAUCUGGGGGUCAUCAACCUCCAAAGCUAAAUACUACUCGAAACCGAUAGCGUAUUAGUAGCGUGAGCGAAGGCUGAAAAGUAACCCUUGAAAGGUGGUUAAAAGCGCCUGAAACUGAUAGGUGAUAGUGAGUUACGGCGCGAAAGGAUCUUCCACGUGAAGGAACCCGUCGCGAGGCGGUAGUACGGGCGUGGUUGCCGGUGUCGUAACGUACGUUUUGAAGAACGGGCCAGAGAGUUUAUUCUGCAGGCGAAGGUUAACCCAAAAGGGGAGCCGAAGGGAAACCAACAAGUCCGUAGCGCUUGCAUGGGACGACGUAUUAAAAGUGCGUGGAGUCUGCAGGAUAAGACCCGAAGCCUAGCGAUCUAUGCGUGGGCAGGUUGAAGCGUGCCGAAAGGCGCGUGGAGGACCGCAAGCGGUUUUGAUAUGCAAAUCAUUCGCGUGACCUGCGUAUAGGAGUGAAAGAUUAAUCGAGCUGGGCAUCUGCUGGUUCCUCUCGAAACAUGCCGUAGCAUGACCUGGCCGGAGAUAGACGGUGAGGUAGAGCACUGAUUGGGGGAGCUGGGGGAGAAAUCCCUCACCCUCCUGUCAAACUCCAAAUUCCCCGUCGUCGAAGAUGGCUGGCAGUCCGGACUACGGGGUAAGCUUGUAGUCCGUAAGGGAGACAACCCAGACCGUGGUUAAUGUCCCUCAAUGUAGGCUAAGUGUCAACACUGAAAGGCGUCCCAGGCCAAAGACAACUGGAAGGUGAGCUCAGAAGCAGCUAUCCUUUAAAAAGUGCGUAACAGCUUACCAGUCGAGGUUUGGGGCACUGAAAAUGGACGGGGCUAAAGCCUACUACAGAUACCACGGACCACACGUUUGUGUGAUGGCGUAGAGAGGCGUGCUGCUUGGGUCGAAGCAGGGGCGUGAGCUCCUGUGGACCGGGUAGUAAUGAGAAUUCUGGCAUUAGUAGAAGCAAAGUUGGGUGAGAAUCCCAACCGCCGGAGGGGCUAGGUUUCCUCGGCAAUGUUCGUCAGCCGAGGGUUAGUCGGUCCUAAGGUGUGUCGUAAUUCGAGCACAUCAACAGGGAAACAGGUUAAUAUUCCUGUACCAUUCAUCCGCAGCGUUAGUUCGCCCUGACGCUUCGGGAUAUGCCUGACAGGGUCGUCGCCCUGUCCAAGCGUUCAAGCUCGUGGAGUACCGCCAUGGUGAGAAGCGAGUGAAGGCGUGAUGGGGUAACCAGGCAAAUUCCUGGAGCCCGUGAAAAGGGGGAUGAAUGACCGUACCGAGAUCUGACACAGGUGCCCCUAGCUGAAGAGGCUAAGGCGUGUCGGUUUAAUCGUGUUAAGGGAACUCGGCAAAUUGGCCCCGUAACUUUGGGAUAAGGGGUGCCUGCCUGGCGAUCAGGCAGGUCGCAGUGACCAGGGGGCUCUGACUGUCUAAUAACAACAUAGGUGACUGCAACUCGGAAACGAUUAGUAUAGUCACUGAUUCCUGCCCAGUGCGAGUAUCUGAAUACCGGGUUCAACCGGACGAAGGACUCGUAAACGGCGGGGGUAACUAUGACCCUCUUAAGGUAGCGUAGUACCUUGUCGCUUAAUUGGCGACUUGCAUGAAUGGAAUAACGAGAGC